rfam:Sarcophilus harrisii ctg7180002224762, whole genome shotgun sequence.
AGAAAUAUGUCUGACAAAAGAAUUAUCUUGAUAGGAUAAAAAUAGGGGUGCAAGCCCCCUUAUUUCUA